UACGGGGGGGGCAAGCGUUGUUCGGAAUUACUGGGCGUAAAGGGCUCGUAGGCGGCCAACUAAGUCGGAUGUGAAAUCCCCAGGCUCAACUUGGGAACUGCAUCCGAUACUGGAUGGCUUGAAUCCGGGAGAGGGAUGCAGAAUUCCAGGUGUAGCGGUGAAAUGCGUAGAUAUCUGGAGGAAUACCGGUGGCGAAGGCGGCAUCCUGGACCGGCAUUGACGCUGAUGAGCGAAAGCUAGGGGAGCAAACAGG
rnacentral:rRNA from 1 species